GGAGCCUGCGGCUUAAUUCGACUCAACACGGRAAAACUCACCCGGCCCGGACACUGGAAGGAUUGACAGAUUGAGAGCUCUUUCUUGAUUCGGUGGGUGGUGGUGCAUGGCCGUUCUUAGUUGGUGGAGCGAUUUGUCUGGUUAAUUCCGAUAACGAACAAGACUCAAACCUACUAACUAGACGAUCGAUUUGGGCGAGCUGUUUCCUGCCUCCGUGUAGGAGCGGCACUGCCUCCGUCGGUCGAUAACUUCUUAGAGGAACAAGCGGNGCUCAGCCGCACGAGAUUGAGCAAUAACAGGUCUGUGAUGCCCUUAGAUGUCCGGGGCCGCACGCGCGCUACACUGAAGGAAUCAGCGUGUGUCCUUCCCUGGUCCGGCAGGACGGGGUAACCAGCUGAACCUCCUUCGUGGUAGGGAUCGGGGUUUGCAAUUGUUCCCCGUGAACGAGGAAUUCCUAGUAAGCGCGAGUCAUAAGCUCGCGUUGACUACGUCCCUGCCCUUUGUACACACCGCCCGUCGCUACUACCGAUUGAAUGAUUUAGUGAGGUCUUCGGACUGGCAGUCGCUGCGGCCUCUAGGUCGCGGCAACGCGUCGGGAAGAUGACCGAACUUGACCAUUUAGAGGAAGUAAAAGUCGUAACAAGGUUUCC
rnacentral:rRNA from 1 species